rnacentral:tRNA from 1 species
GACUCUAUAGCUCAGUGGUUAGAGCACUGGUCUUGUAAACCAUGGGUCGUGAGUUCAAAUCUCACUGGAGGCU